rnacentral:rRNA from 1 species
CAGCCGCCGCGGGAAUACGUAGGUCCCGAGCGUUGUCCGGAUUUAUUGGGCGUAAAGCGAGCGCAGGCGGUUAGAUAAGUCUGAAGUUAAAGGCUGUGGCUUAACCAUAGUACGCUUUGGAAACUGUUUAACUUGAGUGCAAGAGGGGAGAGUGGAAUUCCAUGUGUAGCGGUGAAAUGCGUAGAUAUAUGGAGGAACACCGGUGGCGAAAGCGACUCUCUGGCUUGUAACUGACGCUGAGGCUCGAAAGCGUGGGGAGCAAACAGGAUUAGAUACCCCGGUAGUCCCUGUCUCUUAUACA